CCACCAUUGCCUUAUGCGCAAGUUUGUUUUCUUGUUCAAGGUAACUGUUGGCGGAAGACAAGUGAACAAAGUUAAAAGAAUAAAUGAGAUUUCUCUGGAGUGCAAGAGUGUUUUCAGAGGAUUGGAGUUUCUUCUCUCCCAGCCCAUCAUGACGGAAUUUCUUGCUGAAGCCCUGGUGAAAGAAGUGGAAUACGGAAUCCAAGAACUGGGGAUUUUCUUUCAAGAGAAGUCGCUGUUUUC